UUUCUAUUUUUGUGUGAAAAUUUUAAUGCGAUUCAUAGAAUACAUCUACUUACCAAGUUUCAACAGUAUAGUUCUUAUAGUUUCGGAAAAAAGUGACAGACAGACAGACAGACAGACAGACAAACAUGACGAAUCUAUAAGGGUUCCGUUUUUUGCCAUUUGGCUACGGAACCCUAAAAAUGAUAUUAGAAACCUCAAUAUCAUUUUUGAAAACCUAUCCAUAGAUACCCCACACGUAUGAGUUUGAUGAAAAAAAUUUUUUUGAGGGAUUUAUGACGUAUUAAAAAAAAACUACUUACUAGAUCUCGUUCAAACCAAUUUUCGGUGGAAGUUUGCAUGGUAAUGUAUAUCAUAUAUUUUUUUUAGAUUUAUCAUUCUCUUAUUUUAGAAGUUA